rnacentral:lncRNA from 1 species
AUGGGGAUGGCGUACGAGCACCAGUGUCUGCCGUUCGGCUACUCCCUGGCUCCGCGCACCUUCUCAAAGUGUGUGGAGACGGUGUUGGAACCGCUCAGGCGUCAGGGAAAGAGGAUUCUCUUCUACCUAGACGACCUGCUUAUUCUGAGCAACUCAGAGGAGACCACGAGAAGGGACACCAUGUUGGUGAUAAACCAUCUCUCCUUCCUGGGUUUUGCCAUCAACUGGGAGAAGAGCUCCCCGCUCCCCAGCCGGCAGACAGUCUACUUGGGGCUUUGCCUAGACUCAGCCACCAUGACUGCGAUGCUUUCGCCUCCUCGGAGAGACACCAUCCUGUCGGCGCUCCCCCGUUUUCGCGUUCGCAGAAACGUGACCGCACUGUCCACCAUGCGCCUGAUAGGACUGAUGGCAGCUGCCCACCCCGUGGUCCCGCUGGGUCUGCUUUUUAUGCGCAGACUCCAACGGUGGUUUGCUCGCCAACGGUUGGACCCCAGGCGACACAAGCUCAGGGUGCUCCUCGUUCUCCGUUCGGUGUCGCCAGACCUGGAAUAUUGGAAAAAUCCCCCCGCCCUACUCAGGGGUGUUCCCCUGGGCAGGGUGGCGUCCUACGUAGUGGUCUUCACGGACGCCUCGUUGACGUGUUUCGGAGGAACGUGCCUCUCUAUCUCGGUCGGAGACGAGUGGCGCACGCCCCCUGCAGCACACAUAAAUGUUGGAGCUCGACGCUGUGAGGAAGUGCUGUUGCAUUUCUUUCACCUGGUGCGCGGCCGCCACGUUCUGAUCAGGACAGACAGCGUGUCGGCGGCGGCGUACAUCAACAGACAGGGGGGAGUCCGCUCCCCUGCUCUCCACCGAAAGGCGGUCAAGCUCUGGCUUUGGGCUCACCAGUAUCUCCUCAGUCUGAGAGCCCUGCAUAUCGCGGGCGCCCAGAACUUUGGGGCGGACCUCAUGUCUCGCGGCGGUCCCCAUCGAGACGAGUGGCGGUUACAUCCCGACAUUGUCAGACUGAUCUGGCAGAGGUUCGGGACGGCGCAGGUGGACCUCUUCGCGUCCAGGGAGAACACGCACUGCAGGUGGUGGUUCUCCCUCAGCCCUCGGGAUCUUCCCCCGUUGGGGGUAGAUGCGUUGGCACACACACCUUGGCCGCGGGCUCUCUUGUUUGCGUUUCCCCCGCUCCAGCUGAUCCUUCCUCUUCUGGAACGGGUCAGACAGGAGAGACUGUCCCUAAUAAUAGUGGCCCCGGAGAACCGUUCAGCUCUGUGGUUUCCAGAGCUGGCUGCGCUCUCGCGGUCGGCGCCGUGGCCGGUACCGUUCAGGCCGGAUGCGCUUUCACAGGCCCACGGGACGGUGCACCAUCCGCCCGAUGUCUCGGUACGGCUGUUGGUUUGGCUCCUGAGAGGUUGA